rnacentral:rRNA from 1 species
UACGUAGGGGGCAAGCGUUUGUCCGGAUUUAUUGGGCGUAAAGAGCGUGUAGGCGGCCAGACAGGUCAGCUGUGAAAACUCGAGGCUCAACCUCGAGACGUCGGUUGAAACCGUCUGGCUAGAGUCCGGAAGAGGAGAGUGGAAUUCCCGGUGUAGCGGUGAAAUGCGCAGAUAUCGGGAAGAACACCCGUGGCGAAGGCGGCUCUCUGGGACGGUACUGGACGCUGAGACGCGAAAGCGUGGGGAGCGAACAGG